UAGGGAAUCUUCGGCAAUGGACGAAAGUCUGACCGAGCAACGCCGCGUGAGUGAAGAAGGUUUUCGGAUCGUAAAACUCUGUUGGUAGAGAAGAACGUUGGUGAGAGUGGAAAGCUCAUCAAGUGACGGUAACUACCCAGAAAGGGACGGCUAACUACUUGCUAG
rnacentral:rRNA from 1 species